rnacentral:rRNA from 1 species
GUGAGUCCACGCCGUAAACGACGAAUACUAGGUGUAGGGGUUGUCAUGACCUCUGGUGCCGCCGCUAACGCAUUAAGUAUUCCGCCUGGGGAGUACGGUCGCAAGAUUAAAACUCAAAGGAAUUGACGGGGGCCCGCACAAGCAGCGGAGCAUGUGGUUUAAUUCGAAGCAACGCGAAGAACCUUACCUAGACUUGACAUCUCCUGAAUUACCUUUAAUCGGGGAAGUCCCUUCGGGGACAGGAAGACAGGUGGUGCAUGGUUGUCGUCAGCUCGUGUCGUGAGAUGUUGGGUUAAGUCCCGCAACGAGCGCAACCUUAUUGUUAGUUGCUACCAUUUAGUUGAGCACUCUAGCGAGACUGCCCGGGUUAACCGGGAGGAAGGUGGGGAUGACGUCAAAUCAUCAUGCCCCUUAUGUCUAGGGCUACACACGUGCUACAAUGGCCGGUACAAAGAGACGCGAUACCGCGAGGUGGAGCCAAACUAUAAAACCCGGGUCUCAGUUCGGAUUGUAGGCUGAAACUCGCCUACAUGAAGCUGGAGUUGCUAGUAAUCGCGAAUCAGAAUGUCGCGGUGAAUACGUUCCCGGGCCUUGUACACACCGCCCGUCACACCACGAGAGUUGGCCAAUACCCAAAGUUGGUGAUCUAACCCGUAAGGGAGGAAGCCACCUAAGGUAGGGUCCAGCGAUUGGGGUGAAGUCGUAACAAGGUAGCCGUAGGAGAACC